ACACUGAAUUUGGGGGGAAUUCU
rnacentral:miRNA from 1 species